rnacentral:rRNA from 1 species
CAUGUCCUUAAGAUUAUGAUUUAAGGUCUGGUCUGCUCAAUGAUUAAUUAAAUUGCCGCAGUAUAUUGACUGUGCGAAGGUAGCAUAGUAAUUAGUUUUUUUAUUGAAAUCUAGAAUGAAUGAUUUAACAUGGGAUUUACUGUCUCCUUAAAAUUUUUUUUUGAAAUUAACUUUUUAGUAAAAAGGCUAAAAUUUUCUUUUUAGACGAGAAGACCCUAUAGAGUUUUACAUUUUUAUAAAAGAUUUUUUUAGUAUAAAUUUAUUUUUUAGUGUUAAUGUUUAAUUGGGGUAGUUGGAAAGUUAAAUUAAUUUUUCUAAGUUUAAAUUAUUUAUUGAUAAUUUUAUUUUUUAUUUUUAUAAGAUUAAAUUAAAUUACCUUAGGGAUAACAGCAUAAUCUUCUUUUAGAGUUCUUAUCGUAAGGAAGGUUUGUGACCUCGAUGUUGGAUUAAAAUUUAUUUUGGGUGCAAUGGCCUAUUCAAUUAAGUCUGUUCGACUUUUAAAAUUUUACAUGAUCUGAGU